GGACCCGCACAAGCGGUGGAGCAUGUGGUUUAAUUCGAUGCAACGCGAAAAACCUUACCUACUCUUGACAUACUUGGAAGCUCUUGUAAUGAGAGUGUGCCUUUUGGAGCCAAGAUACAGGUGCUGCAUGGCUGUCGUCAGCUCGUGUCGUGAGAUGUUCCGUUAAGUCGGAUAACGAGCGCAACCCUUACCCUUAUUUGCCAGCGAUUCGGUCGGGAACUAUAAGGGGACUGCCGGUGAUAAACCGGAGGAAGGUGAGGACGACGUCAAGUCAUCAUGGCCCUUACGAGUAGGGCUACACACGUGCUACAAUGGGGAAUACAGACGGACGCUAAGCCGCGAGGUGGUGCUAAUCCCAAAAAAGUUUCUCGUAGUCCGGAUUGGAGUCUGCAACUCGACUCCAUGAAGUCGGAAUC
rnacentral:rRNA from 1 species